AAAGACAUAGAGAAGUCAGUACGCAGCAAUAAAGGUUUCACAGUACACAACAAGGCCUUGCUAUCUGGAAUCGCUUAUUGUAUUUCUUCCUGUAGCAUGAUAUUAGUGAAUAAGUAUGUACUUUCCAGCUAUGACUUUAAUGCGGGGAUAUCAUUGAUGGUCUAUCAGAAUUUUGUCUCAGUGGUGGUGGUUUCUUCGUUGAGAGUUUUUGGGAUAAUUUCUACUGAACCACUCACUUGGAGGCUAGUCAGAGUCUGGUUGCCUGUUAAUGUUAUAUUUGUUGGGAUGCUUAUAACAAGUAUGUUCAGGUAAAAGAUACCCCCUCUUCAUGUUUGUCGUGCCAUGAAUUUAAUUAUUUGAAUGUGCCUAUUGUUUUA
rnacentral:misc_RNA from 1 species